CCUACGAAGUUGUAGGCUUUGCUUCGCGCCUGCUAUAUUUUUACCCAUGUCUUUUGCGCUACCUUUGUUUCCUCGGCGGGUUCCGCCCGCCACCGAUGGACCAACCAUAAACCAUUUUUAUGCAGUUGCAAUCAGCGUCAUGAAAAAUAAUUAAUUAGUUA
rnacentral:misc_RNA from 1 species